rnacentral:snRNA from 1 species
AUUUCUCUACCAAGUGUCGUUA